rnacentral:misc_RNA from 1 species
UUGUGGAGGAGGACGCCGAAGGUGGGGCUAAUGGCUGGGGUGAAGUCGUAACAAGGUAGCCGUACCGGAAGGUGCGGCUGGAUCACCUCCUAACAGGGAGACAACAAAAUGUAAAUAUUAAUUUUGUCACCUUAGGUCGAUCGGUAUCUCAGAUUCUUAUUUUUUAAGAAUUUCAGUUUCUAAGUUUUUUCUAGGUCACACCCAUCACUUUUUCCUGGGCCAUUAGCUCAGGUGGUUAGAGCGCACCCCUGAUAAGGGUGAGGUCCCUGGUUCAAGUCCAGGAUGGCCCAUAUCUCUAUGUUGGGGGUAUAGCUCAGUUGGUAGAGCGCCUGCUUUGCAAGCAGGAUGUCAGCGGUUCGAGUCCGCUUACCUCCACUGAUUACCACCUCUUCCAUAAUUUAUAGAAGGGAGAUCUUUUGAGGUGUGAUCAAAUUCUGAACGAAUCUAGCUUCCUAAUUAUCUUUAUUAAGAUGCUGGACUCAUUGAAUUAAUUUCAUUGUUUUCAGAGAACCUUGACAACUGCAUAGAUUUUUUUUAAAGACAAUAAGCAUCUUUAAUGAUGCAGAUUUAUUAUUUGUGCAAAUGCAUUAAUAACAAUUCUACUAAGCUGAUGCUUCAAUUUUGAAGUUAUUGGUCAAGCUACAA